rnacentral:rRNA from 1 species
GACGGGGGCCCGCACAAGCGGUGGAGCAUGUGGUUUAAUUAGAAGCAACGCGCAGAACCUUACCAACCCUUGACAUCCUGUGCUACACGGAGAGAUCCGUGGUUCCCUUCGGGGACGCAGUGACAGGUGCUGCAUGGCUGUCGUCAGCUCGUGUCGUGAGAUGUUCGGUUAAGUCCGGCAACGAGCGCAACCCACACCCCUAGUUGCCAGCAGUUCGGCUGGGCACUCUAUGGGAACUGCCCGUGAUAAGCGGGAGGAAGGUGUGGAUGACGUCAAGUCUUCAUGGCCCUUACGGGUUGGGCUACACACGUGCUACAAUGGCAAGUACAGUGGGUUAAUCCCCAAAACUUGUCUCAGUUCGGAUUGGGGUCUGCAACUCGACCCCAUGAAGUCGGAAUCGCUAGUAAUCGCGGAACAGCAUGCCGCGGUGAAUACGUUCCCGGGCCUUGUACACACCGCCCGU